AGGUUUUUAACUAUAUUCUUGUGGAACCUAAUGUCUAAAUCGCUUAUUACCACAACCAGUAGAAUAUCUUACAAUCACCUCAUGAAAUUAAGCAGUAAGCUUUUUGUGCAUCGGGAUACACCAGAAAAUAACUCCAAAACCCACUUUGCAUUUACACCUGCUAAUGUAAAA